UUAUUGUUUGGUUUUUGGCUAAGAUCAUAGUGUAGUAAAAAAAAAAAAAGUUCUUAUCAGUUUAAUAUCUGAUACGUCCCCCCAUCGGGGGACUACAUAUUAAAUGGAUUUUUCGAACAGGGAGUCGGAAAUGGGGCUUGCUCCGUCCGCUCCACGCAUCGACCCGGUAUUGCAGUACCUCCGGGAACGGUGCAACACUU